ACACUGCAUAUAUCGUAUGCAGUCUGACUUAACCCGAGAGAAGCAGUGCUAACUCUGUGCAGCAGCCGCGGUAAUACAGAGACUGCAAGCGUAUUCGGAUUCACUGGGCGUAAGGGUGCGCAGGUGGUCUUGUGUGUCAGGUGUGAAAUCCCGAGCUUAACUCCGGAACUGCGCRUGAAACUGCAAGACUAGAGCAUUGGAGAGGGAAGUGGAAUUCAUGGUGUAGCAGUGAAAUGCGUAGAUAUCAUGAGGAACACCAGAGGCGAAGGCGACUUCCUGGACAAUUGCUGACACUCAGGCACGAAAGCAUGGGGAGCAAAAGGGAUUAGAUACCCCUGUAGUCCAUGCCCUAAACGGUGCACACUAGGUCUUGGAGGAUUCGACCCCUUCAGGGCCCAAGCUAACGCGUUAAGUGUGCCGCCUGAGGACUACGGUCGCAAGACUAAAACUCAAAGGAAUUGACGGGGGCCCGCACAAGCGGUGGAGUAUGUGGCUUAAUUCGAUGCAACGCGAAGAACCUUACCUAGCCUUGACAUGCACUAGACCGAGCCUGAAAGGGCUCUUUCCUUCGGGACUGGUGCACAGGUGCUGCAUGGCUGUCGUCAGCUCGUGUCGUGAGAUGUUGCGUUAAGUCGCGCAACGAGCGCAACCCCUGUCCUUAGUUGCCAUCAUUAAGUUGGGCACUCUAAGGAGACAAACCCUCUUUGAGGGUGGGAAGGUGGGGAUGACGUCAAGUCAGGAUGGCCCUUACGGCUAGGGCUGCACACGUACUACAAUGCCUGGUACAGAGGGAAGCAAUACCGCGAGGUGGAGCAAAUCCUAAAAACCAGGCCCAGUUCGGAUUGUAGUCUGCAACUCGACUACAUGAAGUUGGAAUCGCUAGUAAUGGCGCAUCAGCUACGGCGCCGUGAAUACGUUCCCGGGCCUUGUACACACCGCCCGUCACAUCAUGAAAGCCGGUUUUGCCCGAAGUGUGUUUGCCAACCAGCAAUGGAGGCGGCACCCUAAGGGAGGCUGGUGAUUGGGACGAAGUCGUAACAAGGUAACCGU
rnacentral:rRNA from 1 species